GCAGAAAUGAGGUCUGUCGCUUCGCGGAAUCCUUUCUGGAGGUCGCGAAGAGGAAAGUCCGGGCAACAAAGAGCACCGCACAUCCUAACAGGAAGCCGGCGGCGACGUCGGGGCAAGUGUGACAGAAAACUACCGCCUCCCCGCAAUAUGGGAGGUAAGGGUGAAAAGGCGGGGUAAGAGCCCACCGGCUCCGGAGGCGACUCCGGAGGCCGCACAUCCUGCGGGUUGCAAGGCCAAAUACACCGGCAGUCAAGGAUUGCUCGUCCAGUGCCGGGGGGUAGGCCGCUUGAGCCGUCGGGAGACCGGCGGAGUAGAUAAAUGACAGACACCGGUCCGCGUGACCGGCACAUAACCCGGCUUAUAUCUUUUCUGCAUUA
rnacentral:RNase_P_RNA from 1 species